CCUAUGUUUUUUUUUUUUUUUUUUUUUUUAAGAAAUAACAUGUCCAAGUCUAUGACAAGACUGAUACAGAUAGAUAAAGUCACCAUGUACACAACACACCACGUACAUGUAUAACAGAGUCCUGGAACAGAACAUUUAAAUAUUUUGAUGUUGAGAUAUUACAGUGUUUAUGUUGGUUAAUUUAAUGUUUUGUGUCUAUGUGUUUGAGAUUGGUGGCACUGCCAGGGACUCUGGUACUGACCUAGACGAAUAGUCAGCAUGAAAUGUCAAACAUCAGGCACUAGAGCUAAGGGAUAUUUAUGAUUUUUCUCCUCUGAAGUCAUUAAAGACCUUGAAGGAACAAUUUGUGUGGAGACUUCAAGUAAAAGGGAAGAGUUGAAGAGUUAAACAUGUGGUAGAAGGCUCAGCAAUGUUUUUUAGCUGCUGCAGAAUUCAUACAGGCAAAGACCUCUAGCUGUAUCGAUCUGGCCAGUCUGAACAGAAGGAAGUUUGCCACAAUGAAUCACUCAAGAAUCUGUUGUGGGGUCACACAGAAUGGGAGAGUUGUGCAAGGCUGAAGACUGCAGAGGAGCUGGAACAAAGAAAAUGAG